CUUGGUCAUUUAGAGGAAGUAAAAGUCGUAACAAGGUCUCCGUUGGUGAACCAGCGGAGGGAUCAUUAAAGAGUAGUUUUUUACAACAACUCCAAACCCAUGGUGAACUUUACCUAUGGUUGCCUCGGCGGGGAGACCUACCCGGUAGUUACCCUGUAGUUACCCUGUAGAGCUACCCGUCGACGGACCAUCAAACUCUGUUUUUCUAUGAAACUUCUGAGUGUUUUAACUUAAUAAAUUAAAACUUUCAACAACGGAUCUCUUGGUUCUGGCAUCGAUGAAGAACGCAGCGAAAUGCGAUAAGUAAUGUGAAUUGCAGAAUUCAGUGAAUCAUCGAAUCUUUGAACGCACAUUGCGCCCAUUAGUAUUCUAGUGGGCAUGCCUGUUCGAGCGUCAUUUCGACCAUCAAGCCCUAUUUGCUUGGCGUUGGGAGCUUACCCUGCAGCUGCGGGAUAACUCCUCAAAUAUAUUGGCAGAGUCGCGAAGACCCUAAGCGUAGUAAUUCUUCUCGCUUCAAGCAGUGUUAACGCUGGCAUCUAGCCACUAAACCCCUAAUUCUUAUAGGUUUGACCUCGAUCAGGUAGGAAUACCCGCUGAACUUAAGCAUAUCAAUAAGCGGAGGA
rnacentral:rRNA from 1 species